rnacentral:rRNA from 1 species
GGGAGGAAGGUGGGGAUGACGUCAAGUCCUCAUGGCCCUUAUGGGUAGGGCUUCACACGUCAUACAAUGGUCGGUACAGAGGGUUGCCAAGCCGCGAGGUGGAGCCAAUCCCUUAAAGCCGAUCGUAGUCCGGAUCGUAGUCUGCAACUCGACUACGUGAAGUCGGAAUCGCUAGUAAUCGCAGAUCAGCAUGCUGCGGUGAAUACGUUCCCGGGUCUU